CUGCACAGCACCUUCUCUUCCACCAGCCCGAACUCCUCCCCCGUGGACAACUGCCUCUUGCAGGAAAAGCAGGCAAAGCAGGCCAGGUGAUCCCAUGUGAAUCCCACUCUGCAUCUUUGGAAGCUAUGGGAAAGUGCAUUUAAAGCCAAGGGCAGGAAGCACUUCUCUACACGAAGCUGCAUUCCUCCACAGCUCCCAUGUGGGAUCCUCGGUUUACCAGACUCGAGUGGGAAGAGGCCAGGGAACAGCGGCCGGAGCAGUGGGAAACGUUGCCGGGGGACACGCCCAGAGAGCGGCUGUUAGCAGCUUCAGGAUGGGGAGGUAUGUGGAGAAUGCAGAUUUGUGAGGGUCACAGUUAAAAAUACACACCAACAGCACAGAACCGCAGGGGAGCAGUAUAAAUAAGUUAAAACAAUCGGAUAUUAUGGAUUUACCUCUUAGAAAGAGGAUUUCAUGCAUAGUCUCUGUGCAACACUUUAAAAUUAAAUAUACAGUAGUUAACAUGCUAUCGGUAUUUAAGCUAACCACCCUCAUAUACAGUAGUUUUCUUUUAUUUCGGUAUUUCAAUACUGGCAUAGAUCUGCAUUCGGUCCCUGAAUCUUGAAAACAAUAUGCAAGACGCACAGUAGUUUCAUGCUGUGUUUGAAGCACCCAGAGAGCUGAUGCUGGAACUGAAUGUGGGUUAUCCACUGGCUUGCCGAGCAUAAUUCCUACAUGUAAAAUGAUUACUAUGGCUACAAAGGCCCCAUUGAUGACGAGCAGCCUGAUAAAUGAAUUGCUAUUCACAGCACUUGCCUGCAUGGAGACUGCACUCUCCCCUCUCUGCGCUGCCUUGGUUUUGCAUGUAUCAGACAGGAUAUCAAGUCACAUCAGGUUUCGAUCCAGGUUGUCUGGAAUGGGUUUGUGCUUGAUUGUAGGUAUCUUUGUACCACAUGUGUGGGCUUUCUGUUCAACGCAGUUCCUGCCAUCACUGCAUAAGGUUUCUCAUGCAGGAUGUAAGUUCUGUUAUACACUCGUAUCCUGUGUGCACGGUGCAUGGCAAAACCUGCCCAGUUUCCUGCAAUUCCAUGUCAUUACCCAACCUGCCAAUCCCCUCAGCUAAGCCAAAAAUGGCGUAAAUUAAAAGCAUCUAAACACUUUCUUUCCAGCAGGAACACUAGUGCAGCAGGUUUUUCACAAUGCGUGGAUACAGUACCAUCUUUCAUCCUGGCUGGCCUUGCUCUGCAUCGGAGAACUUCCAUGCAAGGGUUCUCGUUAUAUCACUAGUUUUAAUGCAAAAUACCGAGGCACACAAUGCUAAAACAAAGGGCUUUGUAUUGAUGCCUUGUUUUGUUUCUGCUCCAUUAGGAAGCAGAAUAAAUUUUACACUAAAAUUAAAGUUCGUCAUCAAAUGACUGUCUAAAAU